rnacentral:rRNA from 1 species
GAUGAACGCUAGCGGCAGGCCUAAUACAUGCAAGUCGAGGGAGAAUGUUGGAUUCGUCUGACAUGAAACCGGCGCACGGGUGCGUAACACGUAUGCAACCUACCUUUAACUGGGGUAUAGCUCAGAGAAAUCUGAAUUAAUCCCCCAUAAGACUACGACAUGGCAUCAUGAUGUAGUUAAAGCUCCGGCGGUUAAGGAUGGGCAUGCGGUACAUUAGCUAGUUGGUGAGGUAAUGGCUCACCAAGGCUACGAUGUAUAGGGGGUCUGAGAGGAUGAUCCCCCACACUGGUACUGAGACACGGACCAGACUCCUACGGGAGGCAGCAGUAGGGAAUAUUGGUCAAUGGACGCAAGUCUGAACCAGCCAUGUCGCGUGAAGGAUGAAGGCCCUAUGGGUCGUAAACUUCUUUUAUUAGGGAAGAAAAAACGGGAUGCGUCCUGUACUGACGGUACUUAAUGAAUAAGGAUCGGCUAACUACGUGCCAGCAGCCGCGGUAA